GGUGUCUACAGGUCAGUACACCACUGGACAGGGACAGAUGUGGUGUCUCCAGGUCAGUACACCACUGGACAGAGAGACAGAUGUGGUGUCUACAGGUCAGUACACCACUGGACAGAGAGACAGAUGUGGUGUCUACAGGUCAGUACACCACUGGACAGAGAGACAGAUGUGGUGUCUACAGGUCAGUACACCACUGGACAGAGAGACAGAUGUGGUGUCUACAGGUCAGUACACCACUGGACAGAGAGACAGAUGUGGUGUCUACAGGUCAGUACACCACUGUACAGAGACAGAUGUGGUGUCUACAGGUCAGUACACCACUGGACAGAGAGACAGAUGUGGUGUCUACAGGUCAGUACACCACUGGACAGAGAGACAGAUGUGGUGUCUACAGGUCAGUACACCACUGGACAGAGAGACAGAUGUGGUGUCUACAGGUCAGUACACCACUGGACAGAGAGACAGAUGUGGUGUCUACAGGUCAGUACACCACUGGACAGAGAGACAGAUGUGGUGUCUACAGGUCAGUACACCACUGUACAGAGACAGAUGUGGUGUCUACAGGUCAGUACACCACUGGACAGAGAGACAGAUGUGGUGUCUACA